GCUGGGCAUGGUGGUGCAUGCCUGUAAUCCCAGCUACUCUGGAGGCUGAGACAUGAGAAUUGCUUGAACCCAGGAGGCAGAGGUUGCAGUGAGCUGAGAUUGCCCCACUGGACUCCAGCCUGGGCAACACAGUGAGACCCUGUCUCAA
ensembl:misc_RNA Metazoa_SRP Metazoan signal recognition particle RNA